AUACUCUGGUUUCUCUUCAGAUCGAAUAAAGCUUUCGCCUUUACUAAAGUUUUCUGUGCAGAGUAUCAUCCAUGAGGUUUUGAAAAAUUUUUGAGGCUUUGCCCCUGGCAGGGU